UGGCGAACGGGUGAGUAAUGCGUGGGCAACCUACCCUCGAGUGGGGGAUAACCCGCCGAAAGGCGGGCUAAUACCGCGUACGCUUCCCUGCGGGAAGGCUGCGCUCAAGGAUGGGCUCAUGUCCUAUCAGCUAGUUGGUAGGGUGACGGCCUACCAAGGCUUCGACGGGUAGCUGGUCUGUGAGGACGAUCAGCCACACUGGCACUGCGACACGGGCCAGACUCCUACGGGAGGCAGCAGUGGGGAAUAUUGCGCAAUGGGCGAAAGCCUGACGCAGCGACGCCGCGUGGGGGAUGAAGGUCUUCGGAUUGUAAACCCCUUUCGGGAGGGAAGAUGGACGGUACCUCCAGAAGCAGCCACGGCUAACUUCGUGCCAGCAGCCGCGGUAAUACGAAGGUGGCAAGCGUUGUUCGGAUUUACUGGGCGUAAAGGGAGCGUAGGCGGAUAGGUAAGCCCUCCGGGAAAUCUCUCGGCUUAACCGGGAAAGGUCGGAGGGGAC
rnacentral:rRNA from 1 species